rnacentral:rRNA from 1 species
GGAUUAGAUACCCUGGUAGUCCACGCCCUAAACGAUGAGUGCUAAAUGUUGGAAUUUUUAUAUUUCAGUAUUGUAGCUAACGCGUUAAGCACUCCGCCUGAGGAGUACGAUCGCAAGAUUAAAACUUAAAGGAAUUGACGGGGGCUCGCACAAGCGGUGGAGCAUGUGGUUUAAUUCGACAAUACGCGAAAAACCUUACCAGCUCUUGACAUCAAAAUCGAGGAGAAUAGAAAUAUUUUCCAUCAGUUAGGCUGGAUUUUGACAGGUGUUGCAUGGCUGUCGUCAGCUCGUGCCG